CAGAACAGUACUGUGGAUGCUCACCUGGGCUUUGAAGUGACUUUACUCUACUAAUGCUUUGUUGACAUUAUUAUUUUGGAUUGGCUUCUGGAACAGAUCUGGCCAGCAGGCGCAGGUUCACUACAGUGCAUAAUGUGGAUUUUUCCUGAGGUCUGUGGAACAGCAAUGCCUUGAGAGUUAGGGCAGUGAAGAAGCCAGAAGAUCUGAAGAGUUGGACAGAACAGAACUUUGGAGUGGAACUUUUGAAGGCAAUAUCAUCAAGAAGAAGGACAGAUGAUGUACAUCCAGGAUUUGGCACAUUUCACCUUACAAGUACUACCUUUAUUCAGGCGGCAUUAUUACUUUAAACCACAUAUGGAUCAGGGUGAGGAAUUAAACUUGCAGCUUAUUUUAAGUCUGCUUCUGCUUCAUGUUGAUCAGCCAAUAAGAGGGAAGUUCUGGUAGAAAAAAGAGUGGCCAUGACUGAUUUUGUGUGUAUCCUUCCGGGGAAGAUGGUUAGAAGACAACUGACCACUAGCUGGAGGACUUAAUUCAGCUAGUAUUGAUUUGGAGCUGAAGAGGUAGGUUUUCACCCUGGUAAAGACUGUGGUGUAUCAU